AUUGAACGCUGGCGGCAGGCCUAACACAUGCAAGUCGAGCGGAUGAAGAGAGCUUGCUCUCUGAUUCAGCGGCGGACGGGUGAGUAAUGCCUAGGAAUCUGCCUGGUAGUGGGGGACAACGUUUCGAAAGGAACGCUAAUACCGCAUACGUCCUACGGGAGAAAGCAGGGGACCUUCGGGCCUUGCGCUAUCAGAUGAGCCUAGGUCGGAUUAGCUAGUUGGUGAGGUAAUGGCUCACCAAGGCGACGAUCCGUAACUGGUCUGAGAGGAUGAUCAGUCACACUGGAACUGAGACACGGUCCAGACUCCUACGGGAGGCAGCAGUGGGGAAUAUUGGACAAUGGGCGAAAGCCUGAUCCAGCCAUGCCGCGUGUGAAGAAGGUCUUCGGAUUGUAAACUCCUGUUAAAUGGGAAGAAAGACUUCUGGCUAAUAUCCAGAGGGGAUGACGGUACCAUUAGAGAAAGCUCCGGCUAACUUCGUGCCAGCCGCCGCGGUAAGAC
rnacentral:rRNA from 1 species